rnacentral:lncRNA from 1 species
AAACUUUAAACCCAAAUUAAAAAUCCAAGUUGAAACCCUACUCCGUUCCAAUCAGAAAGCAUCAUUUGUUGAUACUGUGUACACCGUCACUGAAAUGGAUUAAUAAACGUUGCUAUUGCUUGCAGCGGCGUUGCUUCCUUUUGUUCACGGAGGCGAAAAAUGAAAUCUUGAGAAAGAAGGCCUUGUGAGUAUCUCCAGCAACGCCAAAGAAGGAAGAUGGAAAAUCUCCAGCAACACCGCUCACUUACCCUUUCAUACAAAGGGGUUGUAUUGAAGGGCCAUUGGAACUUCACUUUUUCUUCUAGAGUACACUUUUUCAUAUUUAAAAGAACAAAAUGCUAAACGAAUUCUUAUUGUAUAUAUAAACUAUAAGGAACAUAUUACGUAGAGAAAUUGGGGAGUUGCUAGUUCCCCACCUAAGCUCAACGAUAAAAGGGGUGGUUUUACUUGGAGAAUGCAAUGUCUUAGUAUUUAUAGGGCUUAUAUGAUUGCUGCAAUAGGCAGCUUGAAUUCAUUGCUCUCAUAUGUAGUCAUGUAAGAUGAAAGUUUGCAAGGUCUUAGAUUCCUUCUUUUUUGAGUUCAUAUUUGUAAUUUGUGUUUUUUUUUUUAAUUAUAGUGUUGCUGUUUAUUUGCAGGUCUUAGUGACAAGGUUCAGAAGCCUUCCACUCUUGUUUGCAGAUACACCUAAUGCAGUUCAUGAGUUAACAAUAGCAAGUAACGUUCUUCACUCCAAUCAGUUAUAUUGUCACCCCCGCCUCUUCUGUGUUUAUAUUCCUACAUGAACCUUCGACAAAUGUGAGACGUAUGAAACGUUUUUUUAUCCAAACAUUUGUUGUGGCUAAAAAAGCUUACUAAAAUUAUCUAAUUCUUACAAGAAAUUGUGCAGUUGACCAGCAUUAAAACAAUAUGCAUCCUUAGAGAAACUAUAGCUAGCUAUUUCACGUGCUGAGCUACUGAUGUAUCUAUAAAAUAUCUCAUAAAUGGCAUCAAAUUGCAUUGUUGGUGUUGAACCUAUAGAUGGUGGUUAAAAAAGUUGUUUAUCUUCCAAAGGCACUUCCCAUUUUAUUUGUUUUUCAAUUUUCUUUCCAAGCUUAGAUUGAAUCCAAUAAUCC